rnacentral:lncRNA from 1 species
CCUUUCCCAGUGCCGGUGUAUCAGCUCCUGUAGUACAAUCAUCAGAUACCUGUCAAAAUCUUGAGUCCAAAGACAAAGCAGAAAGUUCCCAACAAAUUGUUGCUUUGCAAAAUCAACAGCUGGAUGCAGAACAAUCAGAAGCUUUAACUGCUCAACACUCAGGUUCCAAGUUACCUACUCAUUCAUCUUCUGAUUCUGAGGGUAGUGGAGGUGCAAAUGCAAAUGAUACGGUGAAACCUGCCCAUGACGAGAAGACACCUGCUGAGGUUGAGUUUCAUGAUUCAAACAAAGGGAAGAGGGGAAAACAAGUAGAUCGUUCCUCGUGUGGUUCAAAUACACCAUCUGGAAGUGAUCAAGAGAUAGAUGCAACAGAAAAUAAUGAUAAAGAAGAAAAAGAGGAAGAAAAUGAUCUUGAGAUGAAUCGUCCAGCUGUCGAGUUAAGCAAUCGCCGCAAUAGAAGUAUCAGUAACACAAGUGAAUCUUGGAAGGAGGUUUCUGAUGAGGUAAAAAGGGUAUGUUAUUUUAUUUUAUGUAUUCUGUAGCAGUUUUCUUCUUAUAAAGCUUACGUUUUCUCGUAAUGUAUAUACCAUACAGGGGCGGCUGGCUUUUCAAGCUCUCUUCACUCGUGAUGUAUUGCCUCAAAGCUUUUCACCUCCCUAUGAUGUAGAAAAUGAGAACAAGGCAAGUGAGAACGUUGAGAAAGAUAGUCAUGUUGUAGAUAAAGAUAGUGGUGCAUCAGUUUUGGACCUUAACGGCAAGACUUGUGGAUCUUUUAGUCAUCAAAGUAUGGAGAGAGAUACAUCAGCAAUAGGUAUCAACAAUGGAGAGGGAGAACUUCUCACAAUUGGACUAGGAAAUGGAACCCCCAAGGCUUGUCGAACCGGAUUCAAACCCUAUAAAAGAUGUUCAGUGGAAGCAAAAGAAAAGAGAAUGACAACAUCCAGCAACCACUGUGAGGAGGGAGGUCAAAAAAGACUACGCUUGGAGCAG